UGAGUUUGAUCCUGGCUCAGAAGGAACGCUAGCUAUAUGCUUAACACAUGCAAGUCGAACGUUGUUUUCGGGGAGCUGGGCAGAAGGAAAAGAGGCUCCUAGCGUGAAGGUAGCUUGUCUCGCCCAGGAGGUGGGAACAGUUGAAAACAAAGUGGCGAACGGGUGCGUAAUGCGUGGGAAUCUGCCGAACAGUUCGGGCCAAAUCCUGAAGAAAGCUAAAAAGCGCUGUUUGAUGAGCCUGCGUAGUAUUAGGUAGUUGGUCAGGUAAAGGCUGACCAAGCCAAG
rnacentral:rRNA from 1 species